rnacentral:rRNA from 1 species
UACGGGGGGGGGCAAGCGUUGUUCGGAAUUACUGGGCGUAAAGAGCUCGUAGGUGGUUUGUCGCGUUGUUCGUGAAAACUCACAGCUCAACUGUGGGCGUGCGGGCGAUACGGGCAGACUAGAGUACUGCAGGGGAGACUGGAAUUCCUGGUGUAGCGGUGGAAUGCGCAGAUAUCAGGGAGGAACACCGGUGGCGAAGGCGGGUCUCUGGGCAGUAACUGACGCUGAGGAGCGAAAGCGUGGGGAGCGAACAGG